CCCUUGAUGCACGCACCGCGGCGUAAGUGAAGAAGUAUUUCGGUAAGUUAAGCUUAAUCAGCAGGGGAGGAAAAGUGACCGGUACCUUGAGUUAAGGAAGCCCCCCGGCCUAACUUACGGUCGCAAGGCAGCCCGGCCGGUAAAUACCGUAGGGGGGGCAGAGCGUUAAUUCGGGGAUUUACCUGGGGUGUAAAAGGGAGCGGUAGACCGGCGAGGGCAAGUCUGAAGUGAAGGCCCCUGUGCUUAACGCAGGAACUGCUUUGGAAACUGUUUGGCUGGAGUGCCGGAGAGGUAAGCGGAAUUCUUAGUGUAGCGGUGAAAUGCGUAGAUAUUAGGAAGAACACCAGUGGCGAAGGCGGCUUACUGGACGGUAACUGACGUUGAGGCUUCGAAAGCGUGGGGAGCAAACAGGAUUAGAUACCCUGGUAGUCCACGCGGUAAACGAUGAUUGCUAGGUGUAGGUGGGUAUGGACCCAUCGGUGCCGCAGCUAACGCAGUAAGCAAUCCACCUGGGGAGUACGUUCGCAAGAUUUAAAACUCAAAGAAAUUGACCGGAACCCCGCACAAGCGGUGGAGUAUGUGGCUUAAUUCGAUGCAACGCGAAGAACCUUACCCAGGGCUUGACAUCCCGCGAAGACUCGUGAAAGCGAGGGAUACCCUUCGGGGACGCGGAGACAGGUGCUGCAUGGCCGUCGUCAGCUCGUGUCGUGAGAUGUUUGGUUAAGUCCAGCAACGAGCGCAACCCCUGCUGCCGGUUACCAGCGAGUAAAGUCGGGGACUCAGGCGGGACUGCCCAGAUCAACUGGGAGGAAGGUGGGGACGACGUCAGGUCAGUAUGGCCCUUACGCCCUGGGCUGCACACGUACUACAAUGCCCAGUACAGAGGGAGGCGAGUCGGAGACGGCAAGCGGAUCCCAAAAAGUGGGCACAGUUCGGAUUGGAGGCUGCAACUCGCCUCCAUGAAGUCGGAAUCGCUAGUAAUGGCGCAUCAGCAACGGCGCCGUGAAUACGUUCCCGGGUCUUGUACACACCGCCCGUCACAUCAUGGAAGCCGGUUUCACCCGAAGUAUCGGGAGCCAACCGCAAGGGGGCAUGGUCCUAAGGAGAGACUGGUAACUGGGAUGAAGUCGUAACAAGGUAG
rnacentral:rRNA from 1 species